CCUACGGGAGGCAGCAGUGAGGAAUAUUGGUCAAUGGACGAGAGUCUGAACCAGCCAAGUAGCGUGAAGGAUGACUGCCCUAUGGGUUGUAAACUUCUUUUAUAUGGGAAUAAAAUGUUCCACGUGUGGGAUUUUGUAUGUACCAUAUGAAUAAGGAUCGGCUAACUCCGUGCCAGCAGCCGCGGUAAUACGGAGGAUCCGAGCGUUAUCCGGAUUUAUUGGGUUUAAAGGGAGCGUAGGUGGAUUGUUAAGUCAGUUGUGAAAGUUUGCGGCUCAACCGUAAAAUUGCAGUUGAAACUGGCAGUCUUGAGUACAGUAGAGGUGGGCGGAAUGCGUGGUGUAGCGGUGAAAUGCUUAGAUAUCACGAAGAACUCCGAUUGCGAAGGCAGUUCACUGAACUGCAACUGACACUGAGGCUCGAAAGUGUGGGUAUCAAACAGGAUUAGAUACCCGAGUAGUC
rnacentral:rRNA from 1 species